rnacentral:rRNA from 1 species
AAGUAGGGGAUCGUAAGACCUUGCGCUUUUGGAGCGGCCGAUGCCUGAUUAGCUAGUUGGUGGGGUAAGGGCCUACCAAGGCGACGAUCAGUAGUUGGUCUGAGAGGACGACCAGCCACACUGGGACUGAGACACGGCCCAGACUCCUACGGGAGGCAGCAGUGGGGAAUUUUGGACAAUGGGCGAAAGCCUGAUCCAGCAAUGCCGCGUGAGUGAAGAAGGCCUUCGGGUUGUAAAGCUCUUUCAGUCGAGAAGAAAAGGUUGUGACUAAUAAUCACAACUUAUGACGGUACCGACAGAAGAAGCACCGGCUAACUACGUGCCAGCAGCCGCGGUAAUACGUAGGGUGCGAGCGUUAAUCGGAAUUACUGGGCGUAAAGGGUGCGCAGGCGGCUUUGUAAGUCAGAUGUGAAAUCCCCGGGCUUAACCUGGGAAUUGCGUUUGAAACUACAAAGCUAGAGU